GUGGUGAGUAAGCCAGCACACGUCACGAGGAAAGGACAAGAUGUACAGAGUUUGCGGCUCCGGGAUGCCUGGUGUCCAUUUCUUCCUUUCUUUUUCCCCCUCCUCUUUGUUUUAUAUCUGAAAAGAGAGAAAAGAGACGCAUCGACUCUCUGACGAUCUUUCCACAAGGAUGCUUAUUUGACCCAUAAUCAACACUAAACUUUCACAACCUGCAUCUUAAACAACUUAUAGUGACUAGAUUCCUAGACAAUUUCUUCUCGCCUCAGCAUGAGUCCUUUGUGGCUUCGUGUCUGGCUGGUGGGUUUGUGAUUGUGGUGUAAACAGGAAGACGAGAUACAGAACUAAACAGGAAACGUAGUGUACUAGGGAUACACGUGACACUCAAGAGGUACCGUGUUUACUGACAGGUGUAAACAGCUCCACAUACUACUACUACUACUACUACUAGAGGAGAUUCAGAGCGUGGUAAGGUCAGUUCAAUGCAAUUAGGACUCAAUGGAAAUACACUUCACCUGUGCUGAACUGAUCUGCAGGACAGGUAGGCGAUGUCUCCUGUCACUAGAAAUAUGAAUUCAUACUCAUUACAGUUCUAGAAGCUAUAAUCUUUCCAUUGUUUAUUUUCAGAACGUGGAGUUGAAUGAGAAAGAGUGUGUGUGUGUGUGUAUGACAAAAACAGGGAAAUUCAUGUGUUACAGUAAGAUGAAUCGACAGCUGAGAUGAAGUGCAUGUGACAUAAUAAUGCAAGGAGUGGGAUACAUGGAUGAUUGUUUACCUCACAGAGGAGGAUGAUGCUGCAUGCAAAUCAGCAGCGUUUUUUUGUAGUUUCACUGACGUAGGGAAAAAAAACCAGCGCCAGUAACCACCUGUUGAAGAAGUCCUUUCAGGGCAUAAUGAGGGACUUUCCUUUUAAGCCCUACUCAUUGUUUUUGUUGUUUUUCUUUGGCUCAUAAUUGCAUUUUUAAUCAUGUUUACUUUGGUGGGGAUUAUUUUGCCAGCAGAUGUGAUGUACAGUUUACCUGAAGUGACUGGUGAGUCAGAUGGAGCUGUGAAACCCUGUUGCUUUUCUAAGCACGGAAACACGUGUGCUUUCCACCACAAGGUGGAAGUAUAACACAAUAAGCUCUUUUCUUAAAUCGUUUAUAUUAUUUCUGGAAUUCUACUUACAUUAAUACCAAUGCACAAAUCGAUCAUAACCUUUAAUUAUCAUUAUUAUCAUGGUAUCUGUUUUAAAAUAUUAGUUUGUUCUUAUUAACAAUCCCAAAUGCAUGUUUUCCUUUAUCCAUGUGAUUUGGAUGUGUUGUGAAGGCCCGAAUUAGGUACCUUUAAUGCAAGAUUCACGAAUGUGUUAUAAAAACCUAAUAAAUAUCCAUCAAAUAAAGUAUCUAUAAAUGUAUUACGAAGGCCCAAAGUAGGCACCCUCUAAAUAAAGUCCUAUGAAGACCCAAAGUAGGUUAAAAUCAAGUGUGUUAUGAAGGCCCAAUUUAGGUAUCCUGUAAUCUUUUGAAUAAAUAUUUAUAAAUGUGCUAUAAAUAACUAUCAGUAGGUAUAGUUUAAAUCAAGUGUUCUAAAUGUGUUAUAAAAGCCCAGUGUAGGUAGUCAUUCAAUAAGUUGUUAUGACUGUGUCAUGAACAUCAAAAGUAGGUUCCCUUCAAAUGAAUGACGUGACUGUAUGAAUUUAGCGCUGCUUCAGAAUUACACUGUUAUGAAUAAUAACAAUAAAGUGUUUUGAAUGUGAAA